GGAAACAGAUGCUAAUACCGCAUAACAAUUUGAAUCGCAUGAUUCAAAUUUAAAAGAUGGCUUCGGCUAUCACUUUGGGAUGGACCUGCGGCGCAUUAGCUUGUUGGUAGGGUAACGGCCUACCAAGGCUGUGAUGCGUAGCCGAGUUGAGAGACUGAUCGGCCACAAUGGAACUGAGACACGGUCCAUACUCCUACGGGAGGCAGCAGUAGGGAAUCUUCCACAAUGGGCGCAAGCCUGAUGGAGCAACACCGCGUGAGUGAAGAAGGGUUUCGGCUCGUAAAGCUCUGUUGUUAGAGAAGAACGUGCGUGAGAGCAACUGUUCACGCAGUGACGGUAUCUAACCAGAAAGUCACGGCUAACUACGUGCCAGCAGCCGCGGUAAUACGUAGGUGGCAAGCGUUAUCCGGAUUUAUUGGGCGUAAAGCGAGCGCAGGCGGUUUGAUAAGUCUGAUGUGAAAGCCUUUGGCUUAACCAAAGAAGUGCAUCGGAAACUGUCAGACUUGAGUGCAGAAGAGGACAGUGGAACUCCAUGUGUAGCGGUGGAAUGCGUAGAUAUAUGGAAGAACACCAGUGGCGAAGGCGGCUGUCUGGUCUGCAACUGACGCUGAGGCUCGAAAGCAUGGGUAGCGAACAGGAUUAGAUACCCUGGUAGUCCAUGCCGUAAACG
rnacentral:rRNA from 1 species